CAGUUACAUCCGUGGAGUUAACGCACGCUACUUUGGGAUAAAUUAUGGGUUUGCUUUGCUUUGCACUGGCCUGAAAUAAUCUUCCUCCACCCUGACACGCUGUUGAGAAGGUCGCCUGGUCUCAACUGCUGCUGCUGUUGAAGUCACAGCCGAGUAACGGGCAGCUGGGAUGCCAUGUGUUUGAACAGCCCCAAGAUCUUCCACAUAUAGCUCCACUCCACACCCAGCAGAAGUUCCUCUUAAAGCACUUGUUCUGGCCCAUGCCUGUGGAACCACCAAUAGUUUCAUCAUGAGGUGUGUGUUAUUGACCACGAAGGACAGGUAGGACUUUUGACGUCUCACACCAACACCGGUAAUCUGCAGCAAGCAGCCACACUGUCUCCACAGCCAGAGGAAAUAAUAACACGACGUCGCCCACAAUAUAACGAUU